rnacentral:tRNA from 1 species
GCGAGGGUGGUGGUAUUGGUAGACACGCCAGACUAAGGAUCUGGUGGGAGUAAUCCUGUGGGAGUUCGAGUCUCCCCCUUCGCA